GACGAACGCUGGCGGCGUGCUUAACACAUGCAAGUCGAGCGGUAAGGCCCUUCGGGGUACACGAGCGGCGAACGGGUGAGUAACACGUGGGUGACCUGCCCUUAGCUCUGGGAUAAGCCUGGGAAACUGGGUCUAAUACCGGAUAUGACCUCAUGACGCAUGUUGUGGGGUGGAAAGCCUUGUGCGGCUAGGGAUGGGCCCGCGGCCUAUCAGCUUGUUGGUGGGGUGAUGGCCACCAAGGCGACGACGGGUAGCCGGCCUGAGAGGGCGACCGGCCACACUGGGACUGAGACACGGCCCAGACUCCUACGGGAGGCAGCAGUGGGGAAUCUUGCGCAAUGGGCGAAAGCCUGACGCAGCGACGCCGCGUGAGGGAUGACGGCC
rnacentral:rRNA from 1 species